AAAAUGUCCAAUAUAUCUCAUAAAUUGUGCAUCACCGACUCAUUUUCAUAAUAUAAUCGACUCUAAAUUUCAUCUCUCAACAUCUUCAAACAAUGGCUUCUUUUGGUGUUGCUUCUUUUUUCGUUGUUUUGAUCCUGGCAUUUGGUGUAUUAAACUUGGAAGCAUGUACUCAUGACUCGGAGUGUCAAUUGAAUUGUGAUCAUCUCGGCCUUUGUGACUUAAAAACCAAUAAAUGUAGUUGUUUGCCGAUGUCUGAGCCAUUACCCUUUGAUGGUGUACCGAUGGUGAAUGUUAAAUGCAGCACGGAUGAUGAUUGCAAGGAUGCUUGUCCACCAAAUUGCACACCUAAAUGUUUUCAUUGCUUUUGCUUAUGCUAUUGUAAUGCUUGAAAAAUAUAUUAUUUUCGUUCAAAAGACUUCGAAUUUAAGCCUUUCAAUAAUUUGUAUUAAAAAAUUGGUACAUAAAAUGAAUGAAUAGAUAAAGGUGUUGAGAGAA